CCUUUCCAACCCCCCCCCCCCCGGGGGGGCUUUUAUAUAUAUUUUGGUUUUUUUUCUCCAGACGAACGCUGGCGGCGUGCCUAAUACAUGCAAGUCGAGCGGACAGAAGGGAGCUUGCUCCCCGGAUGUUAGCGGCGGACGGGUGAGUAACACGUGGGUAACCUGCCUGUAAGACUGGGAUAACUCCGGGAAACCGGAGCUAAUACCGGAUAGUUCCUUGAACCGCAUGGUUCAAGGAUGAAAGACGGUUUCGGCUGUCACUUACAGAUGGACCCGCGGCGCAUUAGCUAGUUGGUGAGGUAACGGCUCACCAAGGCGACGAUGCGUAGCCGACCUGAGAGGGUGAUCGGCCACACUGGGACUGAGACACGGCCCAGACUCCUACGGGAGGCAGCAGUAGGGAAUCUUCCGCAAUGGACGAAAGUCUGACGGAGCAACGCCGCGUGAGUGAUGAAGGUUUUCGGAUCGUAAAGCUCUGUUGUUAGGGAAGAACAAGUGCAAGAGUAACUGCUUGCACCUUGACGGUACCUAACCAGAAAGCCACGGCUAACUACGUGCCAGCAGCCGCGGUAAUACGUAGGUGGCAAGCGUGGUCAGGAAUUAUUGGGCGUAAAGGGCUCGCAGGCGGUUUCUUAAGUCUGAUGUGAAAGCCCCCGGCUCAACCGGGGAGGGUCAUUGGAAACUGGGAAACUUGAGUGCAGAAGAGGAGAGAGGAAUUCCACGUGUAGCGGUGAAAUGCGUAGAGAUGUGGAGGAACACCAGUGGCGAAGGCGACUCUCUGGUCUGUAACUGACGCUGAGGAGCGAAAACGAGGGGAGCGAACAGGAUUAGAUACCCUGGUAGUCCACGCCGUAAACGAUGAGUGCUAAGUGUUAGGGGGUUUCCGCCCCUUAGUGCUGCAGCUAACGCAUUAAGCACUCCGCCUGGGGAGUACGGUCGCAAGACUGAAACUCAAAGGAAUUGACGGGGGCCCGCACAAGCGGUGGAGCAUGUGGUUUAAUUCGAAGCAACGCGAAGAACCUUACCAGGUCUUGACAUCCUCUGACAACCCUAGAGAUAGGGCUUUCCCUUCGGGGACAGAGUGACAGGUGGUGCAUGGUUGUCGUCAGCUCGUGUCGUGAGAUGUUGGGUUAAGUCCCGCAACGAGCGCAACCCUUGAUCUUAGUUGCCAGCAUUCAGUUGGGCACUCUAAGGUGACUGCCGGUGACAAACCGGAGGAAGGUGGGGAUGACGUCAAAUCAUCAUGCCCCUUAUGACCUGGGCUACACACGUGCUACAAUGGACAGAACAAAGGGCUGCGAGACCGCAAGGUUUAGCCAAUCCCACAAAUCUGUUCUCAGUUCGGAUCGCAGUCUGCAACUCGACUGCGUGAAGCUGGAAUCGCUAGUAAUCGCGGAUCACAUGCCCCCGGGGAAAAAAACUUUCCCGGGCCUUGUACACACCGCCCGUCACACCACGAGAGUUUGCAACACCCGAAGUCCGGUGAAGUAACCUUUUAUGGAGCCAGCCGCCGAAGGUGGGGCAGAUGAUUGGGUGAUAAACAAAAGCGCGCGUGGUGGAAUAAAAAAAAAAAGGGCGGGAAAA
rnacentral:rRNA from 1 species